GACCCGGUGGCGGACGAUUACGCGCCCGCUUUAUGUAAGCAUCGGUUAUUGGAAUCUUCAAUCGGGAGGUCCUGGUUCGACUCCAGGCCGGGUCU